GGCUGUCUGGGAGCCCCAACAACCAACUCUACAUGGCUUUUAUUUUUCCCUGGCGUUUCUAAAAGUCCAGAAGACGGUGCCCCCACACCCUUGGAACUGGAGUUACAGACAGUUGUUAGCCACCAAGUGGGUGCUGGGACUCGAGCCCGAGUUCUCCGAAAGAACGAUCAAGAUGUAGGACUCUCAGCUACCUCUCCAGCACCAUGUCUGCCUGCGUGCUGCCAUGUCCUUCCAUGAUGAAAAUGGACUGCACCUCAGAACUAGGCAAUUUCAUUUCUGCCACUUGAAGAUUUUCUUGAUGAUAUUUACCAGGAUGCAGUAGUCUAUUAAGUUUUAGGAACUACGUAACUUCUGAAAAGACCAGCUCCUUGGUAAUGUUUUCACAAACUUGGAGCCUGCCUCUGCUGAAGAUCACUGGGCCUGCGCCUGCACCUCCAAUUAACAGAAGGGUUCAAGUCUAUCAUCCCUGCUUCCAUGUUGUGUCUGCC
rnacentral:lncRNA from 1 species